GACUAAGUAAAUCUUUUUUUUUUUUUGUCAGACAUUGAACAUUUAUCCAUGAACAUUGUAAAUACGUUUUUCAUUUUAAAUUCUUUUUUAAAGGAUGUUUUGAUCGGUAACUAACUUAUAAAACUGCAUGCAUACGAUAACAUAAGUGCACUGUACAAAACACAUAUCAUGGUACAUUGUAUAUUAACAACAUUCAACAAAUCCUUUAGUUCACCUCUCUUUGAAAAUCAAGAUCCGCACCUGAUAUUAUGAUCGAGAUCAAUCAAAAAUUAUUCAAUUUCAUAUAUUUCAACACUUCUUUUUUUUUUUCAAAUUCUUUUUCUUCCAUUUUUUUGUUGUUGUUGUUGUUGAUUUUUUAUUACAGCAAUUACAUUUUCAAAACAAACAGCACAGCAAAUACAAUAUGCGCAUUUAUUUCAGACAAUAUCGAACAUGCGAUUACAUUUAAUUUAGAUUUUCUUUUAUUUUUCAUUCCACCAAACACUUAGAAUAAUUUAUGUAAUUUCCUAUUAUGUUUUCUGUAUUUUCAAAUUCAGAAAAAUAUGUCCAUUCACAAAAAUACGAUGCGUGUGAUGAAAAAAUAAACUGAUGAAGUUAGAUUUUUGUGCGAUUUACUGAAGUAGGGCAUUUCACCCUUCUUGGACCUCUAGGUGUUUUACAAAAUGAAAUGACGCAUGCGCUGAAGUCAUUGUUUAUCAUGGAGGCGAAUUUGAUAGCGAAAGGAUGUAGUGUUUGAAAUGACGACGAUUAUCGUUGCUUUAGUGUGGAAUUGAAUGGUUUUAAUUGUAUUCCCUUGCGGAAAAAUCAUUCAUGAAUUGAUUUAUAGACCUGGUUUAUACGACGUAAAUGGCGCCAGUGGGCCAAGCUUCUUGAUGCUGAUAAAGACGGCGUCAUCAGUGAAGACGACAUGAAGAAAACUAGCUGCAAUAAUGAAGCCCUCUCUGAUUUUUUUUUUGAUUUUUUUUUUUUUUAGGGAGAGGGCUACAACUCCUUAGGAUCUCCGUAAUGGUGCAAAUGCGGGAGUGAAUCACUCCCGUAACAUUUGCGCUCAUUCUAAACAUUUCCUGACUUUCUUUACGUAAAUAAAAUGAUAUUCCAUGUUUCUUAGUCAAUAUAUAAAUUUACAACCUGCAACUUAGAUUUGUGAGGCUCUAUUCUACCGUUUUCAACAAUUUCGAUAAAUUCCAAUUGCUCGAUUCAUAUUUGUGCGCCAUGUUUGAUGUACUGAAGUUUCAACUUCCGAUUGUCAAGUCAUUUGCAUAUGCCAUAUAAGGUAGUAUUUACAUCAAUGGACAAGUAUGGAGGCGAAAGCUAUUUCGUCGGUAUUGAAAGGGUUUGAAUUUAAUAUCAAGUUAAAAACCGAACAGCAGAGUGUAAAUUCUUUCUGCAACAAUAUGAUUUUCCUUUCUUUGUCGAAGUGGCUCGAGUAACUACAUUUUCGCGCUGAUUGUCAAUGGUUAGGUUUUUCAUUAGAUCCACCUACGAGAUCUCGCGAUAACAAGCAUGGCGGAGCAGACGAAGAAUUUUGCAUGCUGUACAUUAUCUUUAAUGAAAAACACCUUUAUUAGACAUGCCCGAGCACAAAGUUGGUACUCCUUUUGGUGUAAACAACAUUUGGGACUAAUACACAGAGUUUAUUAUCGGUUAUUCAUAAAAUUAUUUUGCACCAUUACGGAGAUCCUAUGGAAUUGUAGCCC